CGAGACUGUCCCGACGGAUUUCCUCUCGAGCUUUGUUGGUUCGCAUGGUUUGAGUUCGGGUAACAGUGGAGCUGAUAGCAGGUGGCUCAGUGGUGGCCAUUUCGCCCACAAAAAUCGCAGAAUGGGUGACCUCGAGGCUUGAAAUCGCCUCGGUUGGAACUGAAAUUAGGGUUACUACCCUCGGAAUCGAUCGCGACUUUGGCUGCAAAACCCAUCACUUCGGAGCUGGAAUCUCUUCUUUGAGCAAUCAAUCGUUGAGCUUCAUCGAGGGCGGCCAUCGAAUGGGCUCUAUUGACGUUCGACAGAGGAUCUAUGCUUAGAAUUUGUGACCGAAUGAUUGAAAAUUCGGGAUUGAGGCCGAUUAGAAACUGAUGAACCUUCUCAUUCUCCUUUUGGGCAGCAAUUUGAGCACUGGCAUCACAGGUGCAUGCCGACAAAUCAAGAAUCGUUCCCUGAGAUCAUCCCAGAGGAUUUGGCAUUCUUUGCCCCAGCUACAGAAUUCUGCUGCUCUUCCUCUAAGUGAUUGAAAAUCCAGGAAACGAGCAUUGAGUUGCACGUUACCUACUGCUUGUGGAAAUCAGUUGAGUCCCUGGGCCAUCUGAGGGAGAGAGGAUAUAUGCUGGUGGCAUGCUCGUAUUCUUCGACAUUUCAAUGAUUCAACAGUGACGCUCAGUUCAAAAGAAACUGGCAGGAAGGAAAAGAAUGAGCCGACUCUCUGACAAGAGGAAAGAACCAGGUGACGCUCAGUUCAGAAAACUGGCUAGAUGGAAGCUCGACCGGGAACAAGCCAGCAAUGAAAAACUUGACGAUCACUGCUCUAAUACCAUGUAAAGAGGCGAAAUUG